UGUCAUUGGCCUGCCUGUAACUGGGCUUGAUGCCCAAGAAGACUGUCCAGGUCGGUGGUCCAGAAACUCCAGGCAGGCAAGGAUUUGAGCACAUGCUGGAAAGCAGAUGGGCAGUGAAGCUGGGACAGGUAGUCCGAAAGCAGUUCAUUCUUCCCCCAAGGGAUGAACUGUUCACACUGAGAAGCCAGGCCAGUGCAUGAUGUGAAAGAUUCUCUUGCUCAGAGCCUGGAGAGCAACUGUCAGUCUGCAUAGAACCGGGACAGGGAACCCUUUUCUGGCUGAGGGCCACAUCCCCUUAUGGGCAACUUUCUGGGGGGCAUGUGCCAGUGGUGGGUGGGACCAGAGGCAAAAGUGGGUGGAGCAACAAAUGCAAAUUUUAGUUUUGAAGAGUAGGUCAGCUUCUGCACACAUGCUUCUGUUUCCUCUAUCCAGGUAAGCAAGAGGCAUGAUCAGAGCACACAUUCCAGCCAAGCAAAGAAAACCAUAGCUGUGCCCUGAGGAGAAGUGUCUAGGGAGAGCCCCAAGGCCAGAUAGAGAAGCCCUGAGGGCCACAUUAAACCCCUGGGCCUGAGGUUCCAAACGCCUAGUGUUUGAAAUUUGCCAGGCACCAGGCACAUUUUGUAACUGGCUAUUGGUCACUUGUGACCAUGUGAAGAUGUCAGAGCGCCAGGAUGACGCCUGAUAUCUCCAUCAUCAUCAUCAUUUUUAAUUUGUAUACCAUCUUUUUAUCUUACAAUACUCAAAGCGGUUUACCAGCUGAAGAAACAAAAAAUGUACAUCUUAUAACAAUCUAAUGCAAUACAAAAAUGUGAUAAUAAAAUAUAACUUUAAAAUAGACAACCUACAUCAAAAAAGUAACAUUCAGCAAUCAUUAGAAUAGUAUUAAAUAAUAAUAACAACAUAUAAAAGUUAAACAGAAAUCCACUCAAAGUUACAAUAAAUAAUUUCUAAACUAUAAUCAAUAAAACAACAGCAAGCCACAGUACAUAAAAUAAUGCAAUACAAAUUGAGAAGCAGAGACUAGAGCAGGGGUAGGCAACCUAAGGCCUGGGGGCCGGAUGCAGCCCAAUCGCCUUCUCAAUCCGGCCCGUGGACAGUCCAGAAAUCAGUGUGUUUUACAUAAGUAGUAUGUGCCCUUUUAUUUAAAAUGCAUCUCUGGGUUAUUUGUGGGGCAUAGGAAUUCGUUCAUCCCCUCCCCCAAAAAAAUAUAGUCCGGCCCACCACAAGGUCUGAGGGACUGUGGACCGGCCCACGGCUGAAAAAGGUUGCUGACCCCUGGACUAGAGGGUGGAGCAAGGCAGGUGGAAGGAGGCCUUGCCUGAUGAAGUCUCUCCCCUCACAGUUCUUCCUCCAGGACCAGCUCCCUUAUGAGGUCUCGUAGGGUCAGAGGGUGGGACGAAGCAGGUGGAAGGAAGCCUUGUCUGAUGGAGUCUCUCCCCUCACCAUCUCCCCUCCACCAUCUGAAGGUGUAUGCCUGGGAAUCCUUGGAUCUUGACCAUUUUCACACACUAGCAACACAUCCUGUUGUAUUUUAUCUGCACAAUCAGAAUAAAUUUCAGGAACCAAAAAGUCGUAUUGCUGCCACAUUCGUAAAGUUGCCCCAAAAUGGCAACUAGGCAUUCAGUUUUGGCAACCAUCACCCUGGUUAAAGGAGCCAUUUGACGCCUAGCUUAUAUUGCUGAGUUUCUAACACUGAACACAUCUUCUCUAAAGAGGUCACUGGAGGAUGUCUUGGUGGUUUUGACCUACCCUUUUCCUGCUUAUUUCUCAAGAUCUAUGAACAGAACAUGAUUUGUGAAAAACCACAGUUUGGAGAUUCACCUUGCAGAUCCUAAAACUGUUUUUUUAAAAAAAACCACCACCAACAACAACUCCCUAGUUUUAAUAAAAGUGUCUUGGGAGUUGGGUGCAGAAGCCUCUGAGGAAGAUGUCAGCUGUAAAAUCCUGCUGAGGACCAGUCACUGCUGUGCUGGUUGGUAGCCAGUGUGUCUAAAGCUCUGGCAUAAUUUGACGGGUAAUCUGGAAUGAUGGAACAGAACAAGACUCUGGCUGCACAGAUGGGUCAUUCCUUUUCUUUGCUCUGCAUGCUGCUACUUACUAUCUUGUCACCUCAAAGCUUGCAGUGAGGUCAGCAGAACCUCUGCAGCUGAGAUGGAAAUUCCUUACUGGCCUGAUCUUCGCUGAGGUUAAUAGGCAGUGUGAUGCACAAUCUUAAUAGCCAUAAAGGCAUUUGGAAAGCCUAAGAAGGGAGCGUUCUCAGUUCAUCUUGCUUUGGCAAUAACAUGAAGCAUUCAGCGAAAGACUUCACCCCUGAAUGUGAAGAAGUCCUCAGUGGGAAUUUCAGGAGGAAUCCUGGAUCAAUAUUAUAUUGUCAGAUGCUCUCUACUUCCUUAAAGUGAUGAAAGCAUCUAGGGGCAGUCAUUCCUCAGUUAUGGCUUCCUCUGGAGAAGAGCGCACUGGAGACAAGUGGUAUUUACUUGAACUCACUGAAAAAGACCUUGUGGUUGAAACAAAUUUGGUCAUUAAACUUUGUACUGAUUCCUUUCA